GCUAGCGUUGCUCGGAAUCACUGGGCGUAAAGCGCACGUAGGCGGCUUCUUAAGUCAGGGGUGAAAUCCUGGAGCUCAACUCCAGAACUGCCUUUGAUACUGAGGAGCUUGAGUCCGGGAGAGGUGAGUGGAACUGCGAGUGUAGAGGUGAAAUUCGUAGAUAUUCGCAAGAACACCAGUGGCGAAGGCGGCUCACUGGCCCGGUACUGACGCUGAGGUGCGAAAGCGUGGGGAGCAAACAGG
rnacentral:rRNA from 1 species